rnacentral:rRNA from 1 species
CAUGCAAGUCGAACGGUAACAGGAAGCAGCUUGCUGCUUUGCUGACGAGUGGCGGACGGGUGAGUAAUGUCUGGGAAACUGCCUGAUGGAGGGGGAUAACUACUGGAAACGGUGGCUAAUACCGCAUAACGUCGCAAGACCAAAGAGGGGGACCUUCGGGCCUCUUGCCAUCAGAUGUGCCCAGAUGGGAUUAGCUUGUUGGUGAGGUAACGGCUCACCAAGGCGACGAUCCCUAGCUGGUCUGAGAGGAUGACCAGCCACACUGGAACUGAGACACGGUCCAGACUCCUACGGGAGGCAGCAGUGGGGAAUAUUGCACAAUGGGCGCAAGCCUGAUGCAGCCAUGCCGCGUGUAUGAAGAAGGCCUUCGGGUUGUAAAGUACUUUCAGCGGGGAGGAAGGUGUUGUGGUUAAUAACCGCAGCAAUUGACGUUACCCGCAGAAGAAGCACCGGCUAACUCCGUGCCAGCAGCCGCGGUAAUACGGAGGGUGCAAGCGUUAAUCGGAAUUACUGGGCGUAAAGCGCACGCAGGCGGUCUGUCAAGUCGGAUGUGAAAUCCCCGGGCUCAACCUGGGAACUGCAUUCGAAACUGGCAGGCUUGAGUCUUGUAGAGGGGGGUAGAAUUCCAGGUGUAGCGGUGAAAUGCGUAGAGAUCUGGAGGAAUACCGGUGGCGAAGGCGGCCCCCUGGACAAAGACUGACGCUCAGGUGCGAAAGCGUGGGGAGCAAACAGGAUUAGAUACCCUGGUAGUCCACGCCGUAAACGAUGUCUACUUGGAGGUUGUGCCCUUGAGGCGUGGCUUCCGGAGCUAACGCGUUAAGUAGACCGCCUGGGGAGUACGGCCGCAAGGUUAAAACUCAAAUGAAUUGACGGGGGCCCGCACAAGCGGUGGAGCAUGUGGUUUAAUUCGAUGCAACGCGAAGAACCUUACCUGGUCUUGACAUCCACGGAAGUUUUCAGAGAUGAGAAUGUGCCUUCGGGAACCGUGAGACAGGUGCUGCAUGGCUGUCGUCAGCUCGUGUUGUGAAAUGUUGGGUUAAGUCCCGCAACGAGCGCAACCCUUAUCCUUUGUUGCCAGCGGUCCGGCCGGGAACUCAAAGGAGACUGCCAGUGAUAAACUGGAGGAAGGUGGGGAUGACGUCAAGUCAUCAUGGCCCUUACGACCAGGGCUACACACGUGCUACAAUGGCGCAUACAAAGAGAAGCGACCUCGCGAGAGCAAGCGGACCUCAUAAAGUGCGUCGUAGUCCGGAUUGGAGUCUGCAACUCGACUCCAUGAAGUCGGAAUCGCUAGUAAUCGUGGAUCAGAAUGCCACGGUGAAUACGUUCCCGGGCCUUGUACACACCGCCCGUCACACCAUGGGAGUGGGUUGCAAAAGAAGUAGGUAGCUUAACCUUCGGGAGGGCGCUUACCAC